rnacentral:rRNA from 2 species
CGGAAGACCAAGGGUUCCUGUCCAACGUUAAUCGGGGCAGGGUGAGUCGACCCCUAAGGCGAGGCCGAAAGGCGUAGUCGAUGGGAAACGGGUUAAUAUUCCCGUACUUGGUGUUACUGCGAAGGGGGGACGGAGAAGGCUAUGUUGGCCGGGCGACGGUUGUCCCGGUUUAAGCGUGUAGGUGUGUGUUCCAGGUAAAUCCGGUUCACUUUAACACUGAGGCGUGAUGACGAGGCACUACGGUGCUGAAGCAACAAAUGCCCUGCUUCCAGGAAAAGCCUCUAAGCAUCAGGUAACAUCAAAUCGUACCCCAAACCGACACAGGUGGUCAGGUAGAGAAUACCAAGGCGCUUGAGAGAACUCGGGUGAAGGAACUAGGCAAAAUGGUGCCGUAACUUCGGGAGAAGGCACGCUGACACGUAGGUGAAGUGAUUUACUCACGGAGCUGAAGUCAGUCGAAGAUACCAGCUGGCUGCAACUGUUUAUUAAAAACACAGCACUGUGCAAACACGAAAGUGGACGUAUACGGUGUGACGCCUGCCCGGUGCCGGAAGGUUAAUUGAUGGGGUCAGCGCAAGCGAAGCUCCUGAUCGAAGCCCCGGUAAACGGCGGCCGUAACUAUAACGGUCCUAAGGUAGCGAAAUUCCUUGUCGGGUAAGUUCCGACCUGCACGAAUGGCGUAAUGAUGGCCAGGCUGUCUCCACCCGAGACUCAGUGAAAUUGAACUCGCUGUGAAGAUGCAGUGUACCCGCGGCAAGACGGAAAGACCCCGUGAACCUUUACUAUAGCUUGACACUGAACAUUGAGCCUUGAUGUGUAGGAUAGGUGGGAGGCUUUGAAGUGUGGACGCCAGUCUGCAUGGAGCCGACCUUGAAAUACCACCCUUUAAUGUUUGAUGUUCUAACGUGGACCCGUGAUCCGGGUUGCGGACAGUGUCUGGUGGGUAGUUUGACUGGGGCGGUCUCCUCCUAAAGAGUAACGGAGGAGCACGAAGGUUGGCUAAUCCUGGUCGGACAUCAGGAGGUUAGUGCAAUGGCAUAAGCCAGCUUGACUGCGAGCGUGACGGCGCGAGCAGGUGCGAAAGCAGGUCAUAGUGAUCCGGUGGUUCUGAAUGGAAGGGCCAUCGCUCAACGGAUAAAAGGUACUCCGGGGAUAACAGGCUGAUACCGCCCAAGAGUUCAUAUCGACGGCGGUGUUUGGCACCUCGAUGUCGGCUCAUCACAUCCUGGGGCUGAAGUAGGUCCCAAGGGUAUGGCUGUUCGCCAUUUAAAGUGGUACGCGAGCUGGGUUUAGAACGUCGUGAGACAGUUCGGUCCCUAUCUGCCGUGGGCGCUGGAGAACUGAGGGGGGCUGCUCCUAGUACGAGAGGACCGGAGUGGACGCAUCACUGGUGUUCGGGUUGUCAUGCCAAUGGCACUGCCCGGUAGCUAAAUGCGGAAGAGAUAAGUGCUGAAAGCAUCUAAGCACGAAACUUGCCCCGA